rnacentral:lncRNA from 1 species
AUGUGCAGAGACAAAGAUAGGGAAUGGGCAGCCAAUGAGCCCCAAAUUGAGACCCAUCCCAAGGGCAAGAACCAAUCCCUAACACUAUUACUAAUGAUACUUUGUUAUGCUUGCAGACAGAAACCUAGCAUAACUGUCCUCUGAGAGGCUCCACCCAACUGCCAAUGGGAAGAGAUUCAGAGACUCACACCCAAACAGUAGAUGGAGUUCAGGGAGUCUUACAGAGAGCUGGAGAGAAAUUGAGGGACCUGAAGAAGACAGGGGCUCUACAGGAAAAUUAACAGAGGAGAAGCCACAAAUGAAGAGGAACAAAAUGUAAAAAGGGGAAAGGGUGCUUCCAGUCAUGGGAGCAUGGCUACCUUUGAAAGGACCAGGCCAUGGCUGCCUGAGAAGUGACCUGGCUAUGGCUGCCAGAGAAAGGACAAGAUCAUCACUACCUGAGAAAGGACAAGGUCAGAGAUCCAUUUGGCUGUAGCUUACAGUGAAUGGAGCAAAGGUCCCUGGAUGACCCACUGACCUGAUCACCAGUGACCUUGAAUCUACUCACAUUCUUACCUUGUUCUACUUUCUCAUCAAAGAGCCGAAAUGGCUAAAAAGGUCAUGAAUUUAUGUGAGAAUCAUUCAUCAGAAGAGAUUCAAAUCUUGUCACUGUUUCUUCCUGGUCACCUACCUGUACCUCAUCCCCAGCACCCACCAGACCAGGCUUCCCUACGGACUAGCUUCUCUUGAAUGCUACAUGAGACUGCCAGGACAACAGGCUUCCUUCUCCCAAGCAGCAUGAGAUGACAUCUUUCUUUUAUUCCUCACAUAACACAAGGAUACAGGAAGACAUACUGAUUGGAGCACACAACAGAAUUUGUUUCUUUGUAUAAAUAAAGCGCUCUCUGUAUGAACCCCC